CAGCAGCCGCGGGAAUACGGAGGGUGCAAGCGUUAAUCGGAAUUACUGGGCGUAAAGCGCACGCAGGCGGUCUGUCAAGUCAGAUGUGAAAUCCCCGGGCUUAACCUGGGAACUGCAUUUGAAACUAGCAGGCUAGAGUCUUGUAGAGGGGGGUAGAAUUCCAGGUGUAGCGGUGAAAUGCGUAGAGAUCUGGAGGAAUACCGGUGGCGAAGGCGGCCCCCUGGACAAAGACUGACGCUCAGGUGCGAAAGCGUGGGGAGCAAACAGGAUUAGAUACCCGCGUAGUCCCUGUCUCUUAUAA
rnacentral:rRNA from 1 species